rnacentral:rRNA from 1 species
AGUGAACGCUGGCGGUAGGCCUAACACAUGCGAGUCGAACGGCAGCACAGUAAGAGCUUGCUCUUACGGGUGGCGAGUGGCGGACGGGUGAGGAAUACAUCGGAAUCUACUUUUUCGUGGGGGAUAACGUAGGGAAACUUACGCUAAUACCGCAUACGACCUACGGGUGAAAGCAGGGGAUCUUCGGACCUUGCGCGAUUGAAUGAGCCGAUGUCGGAUUAGCUAGUUGGCGGGGUAAAGGCCCACCAAGGCGACGAUCCGUAGCUGGUCUGAGAGGAUGAUCCGCCACACUGGCACUGAGACACGGUCCACACUCCUGCGGGAGGCAGCAGUCGGGAAUCUUGGACAAUGGGCGCAAGCCUGAUCCAGCCAUACCGCGUGGGUGAAGAAGGCCUUCGGGUUGUAAAGCCCUUUUGUUGGGAAAGAAAAGCAGCACGUUAAUACCCCGCUGUUCUGACGGUACCCAAAGAAUAAGCACCGGCUAACUUCGUG